CAAAGUUAUAGUAAUGAUGAUGAUGAUGAUGAUAGUGAAAACACACAAUUAGCAAUGAAUUUUUUCUCGAUUGUGAAUUCCAUUGUCUCGUUGAAAUCUAUUCUCCAUAUGGCUUCUAAGCAUUUAAAAUGUUGAGGUUUUUGUAGUGGAAAACUUUUUAAUAGUGAGUUAAAUUUAAAUUCUAAUUUUGCUGUUUUGUUUUCUUUGCCAGGGAGGUGGAAGAGCGGUGAGUCAAAGUCAAAGUAGAGCGAGGAGAAAGGAACGGGGGAAAGCAGAGCACAGAACCUGGGAAACAGUUGAUGAGCUAUGAGAGUGACUCAGCUGUUCAGCAGAAACCUGACCUUCCUCACUCUGCAGCUCCUACUCCCCAGGCUACAGCUUCGCUUCAGAAACCUGGGUAGUU
rnacentral:lncRNA from 1 species